AUGCUACGGUGAAUACGUUCCCGGGUCUUGUACUCACCGCCCGUCACACCAUGGGAGUUGAUUUCACUCGAAGCCGGAAUACUAAACUAGUUACCGUCCACAGUGGAAUCAGCGACUGGGGUGAAGUCGUAACAAGGUAACCGUAGGAGAACCUGCGGUUGGAUCACCUCCUUU
rnacentral:rRNA from 1 species